UUUCCUGUGAACAGCUUCUGCAGAACGACUUUCACAUCAGCGUCUGUGCCGUCGCACAUUCAAGUUUCUUCUUCAGAGAGUUGUGGACAGUGUCAGAGUUGAGCUUCAUCAUGGCUGGACUCCUGCUGUUUGUCGUCCUCAUGAGUUUCUUUUAUGAGAUUCAAGGACAAGCUCCUCCACCUACACUGAUAAUACAUCCACCAGUGAUCACUGAGACAGACUCGGUCACAUUGAACUGUGAGGCUCCAUCGUCUGUUUCUGUGUCUCGGUGUCAUUUCUACACUCUGACCAGAAAAGCUUUUGAAACAAAGUCAUGUAAACAGACGCUGACAGGAACUGAGCUGCUGAAGAUUUCACAUCAGAAUUCACCUGCUGCGGUUCAAGUGAUUUGUUAUUACACUGUACAGCUUCAAAAUGUGAAUUCUCCAUUCAGUUACCCAUCAACCAUCACCAUACAGAGUGAGUGAUACUUUUCUCAUACCUUGAUAUGUUAUCUAGUUUUCUGACUGUCUUGCAUCAACCUGCUAUGUUUCCCAUUCUUGUUGCUAUUGUGACUCUGUGACCAGCGCUGAUCCUCCACUCUCCACCUCUGCAGCCACUUAGUCAGAACAGUUCACUGUAAUGGCAGUUUCAGUUUGUUUCAUUUAGCGUAUUCUUGGUCAGACUCAGAGACAAGAAGUUGAGUGCAGAGAGUGAAAAUGUAGUUUGACCCAUAGAGCCACAAUGACUGCAUUUAUUGAGAAUAACUGAAAUAUACAUAAUUAUUAUCAUUAUUACAAACUGUAGAUUUUAUGUAGAUGUUUUCAUUUUUAUCGUGCAUUUUUACAAAUACAUCAGUCUAUGAUUUAUUAUCUUUGCUUAACAUAGUUAA